rnacentral:rRNA from 1 species
UGGGGAAUAUUGGACAAUGGGGGGAACCCUGAUCCAGCCAUGCCGCGUGUGUGAAGAAGGCCUUAUGGUUGUAAAGCACUUUAAGCGAGGAGGAGGGUACUGGUAUUAAUACUACCAGCUACUGGACGUUACUCGCAGAAUAAGCACCGGCUAACUCUGUGCCAGCAGCCGCGGUAAUACAGAGGGUGCGAGCGUUAAUCGGAUUUACUGGGCGUAAAGCGUGCGUAGGCGGCUAAUUGAGUCGGAUGUGAAAUCCCCGAGCUUAACUUGGGAAUUGCAUUCGAUACUGGUUAGCUAGAGUGUGGGAGAGGAUGGUAGAAUUCGAGGUGUAGCGGUGAAAUGCGUAGAGAUCUGGAGGAAUACCGAUGGCGAAGGCAGCCAUCUGGCCUAACACUGACGCUGAGGUACGAAAGCAUGGGGAGCAAACAGG